UCUGCCUGUCUGCCUGGAG
rnacentral:misc_RNA from 1 species